GAUGAACGCUGGCGGUGUGCCUAAUACAUGCAAGUCGAGCGAAAGGACGAGAAGCGUAUUUCUAUGAUGUUAGCGGCGGACGGGAGAGUAACACAUCGAUCAUCUACCAAUAAGACUGGGAUAACAACGGAAAACCGGUGCUACUAACGGAUUAUAUUUUCAACAGUAUGGUUCAAAAGUUUUAGCCGGUAUUGCUGUCACCUAGAGAUGGUUCCGCGUUGCAUUAGUUAGUUGGUAAGGUAACGGCUUACCAAGGCAACGAUGCGUAGCGGACCUGAGAGGAGGAUCGGCCACACUGGAACUGAGACACGGUCCAGACUCCUACGGGAGGCAGCAGUGGGGAAUCUUAGACAAUGGGCGGAAGCAGGACGGAGCAACGCCGCGUGGGGGAUGAAGGUCUUCGGAUCGGAAAUCUCUGUUAUUAGGGAAGAACAUAAGUGUAAGUAACUGUGGACAACCUGACGGUACCUAAUGAAAAAGCAACGGCUAACUACGUG
rnacentral:rRNA from 1 species